UAUGUACUUUAGUUUAUCAACGCUUACUGACUCUUUCUUGACAAACAUUAGGUAUACCUAUUCGGCUAUUCUAGUACAUAAUAAAAUUUUAUAAUACCUCUAUAUACCUUCAAGUGUCAAGUUGUACUGAACCAUCAUGUCAAGCGUGCUUUUUUCAGUUACUUUCAAUUCGGACCCCAGCCUCCGCCUCCAGAUAGGUUAGAGGAAAUGGUUCUCCACAUUGAAUAUACCAACAAUGGUACCUAUUUCUCUUAGAACAAUAAUAAUACAAAACUAUUUCACGGUUGCAUUCCAUCAACUUCUGUAUAUCCAUCCAAACCAAGAAUUCAACAUAGAGGUAAGGUUGGAGAAACUUAAUCUCCACAUUUACAAUAACCAACAAUGAAUAUGGUUCCAACCCAACUUCCAAGUACUACUACAUAUUACACGGUCGGAUUGCAAUGUUGCAUCUAUACCUACAUAAACAUUUGCAAUUAAUGAUCUUCACUUUCAUCUACGCGAUAAUUUAUUUCCGCACAAGGUUCAUUUCAAUUCAACAUUUUUAAUACUUGCACAGCUUACAUCAACAGAAAGAGAAGAAGGAUGAAUAAAUUAUAGGUAAUUCUUAAGUGG